CUGCUGCGCUGCCCUUUUUCCUUAUUCAGGCCUUUGUUGUAUUUUGUUAAGGUUUUUACUAAACCUUUUAAAAUUUUUAAAAGCGAGUGUCUCUCACACCUUCCACGCUGAUCCAGAAAAUGAAAUGAGCUGUCCCUGCAACCAGGCUUUGAUGUGAACAAAAUAAGACUUAAACAUACCUGGAGCUGUGUGGUAGCCAGCCCUGUUUCCUCCUGUCCCAGCUUGCCAAAUGGAGUUUCAGAAUUUACCUUGGACUUGUUCUUUUAUUGCAUCUUGUCAGAGGAUCACUGGAUGGCCACCAGAGCAUCUGCAGCCCAGCUCUGCCUGGAUGCUGUGGCACUGGCCUGCCAGUGGAAUUGUUUCCAACCAUUGUUUGGAGAAAGCCUUGAAAAUCUGAAGCAAGGACACCGAAGAGCAUCAGAAAAAUAGGAGGCAGGGAAGAAACAUUGCAGCUUUUCUUCAAGCAAAGUUUUAUGGCUUUUAAGGCAGUUACUAGAAUUUUUACAGGGCACUGAAUUAGAUUUUUUUAAAAAAUCUUUGUCCUUGGCAGUGCUAAAAAUAAUAUGUUUGGACAUGUUUCAACACAUUCUGGGAAUAAAUCACGAGGGAAUUUGGAG
rnacentral:lncRNA from 1 species